rnacentral:rRNA from 1 species
GACGAACGCUGGUGGCGUGCUUAACACAUGCAAGUCGAACGGGAUUUCGUAAACAGAAGCCUCGGUGGAAGAUUACUAAUGAGAGUGGCGAACGGGUGAGUAACGCGUGAGCAACCUGCCUAUGACAGUGGGAUAGCCUCGGGAAACCGGGAUUAAUACCGCAUAAAAUCGUAGAAACACAUGUUUUAACGGUCAAAGAUUUAUCGGUCAUAGAUGGGCUCGCGUCUGAUUAGCUAGUUGGUGAGAUAACAGCCCACCAAGGCGACGAUCAGUAGCCGGCCUGAGAGGAUGAACGGCCACAUUGGAACUGAGACACGGUCCAAACUCCUACGGGAGGCAGCAGUGGGGAAUAUUGCACAAUGGGGGAAACCCUGAUGCAGCGACGCCGCGUGAACGAAGAAGGUAUUCGUAUCGUAAAGUUCUGUCCUAUGGGAAGAUAAUGACAGUACCAUAGAAGAAAGCUCCGGCUAAAUACGUG